rnacentral:rRNA from 1 species
UACGGAGGGGGCGAGCGUUGUCCGAAGUUACUGGGCGUAAAGCGCGCGUAGGCGGGUUGGUAAGUCCGCUGUGAAAGCCCGGAGCUUAACUCCGGAGGGUCGGUGGAUACUGCCAGUCUUGAAGGUGCUAGGGGGAGAUGGAAUUACCGGUGUAGCGGUGGAAUGCGUAGAGAUCCGGAAGAACACCGGUGGCGAAGGCGGUCUGCUGGGCAGUAGCUGACACUGAGGCGCGACAGCGUGGGGAGCAAACAGG